GGACGAACGCUGGCGGCGUGCCUAAUACAUGCAAGUCGAGCGAUUGGUGCUUGCACCAAAGCGGCGGACGGGUGAGUAACACGUGGGUAACCUGCCCAAGAGACUGGGAUAACACCUGGAAACAGAUGCUAAUACCGGAUAACAACACUGACGCAUGUCUAGAGUUAAAAGAUGUUCUUAUCACUCUUGGAUGGACCUGCGGUGCAUUAGCUAGUUGGUAAGGUAACGGCUUACCAAGGCAAUGAUGCAUAGCCGAGUUGAGAGACUGAUCGGCCACAUUGGGACUGAGACACGGCCCAAACUCCUACGGGAGGCAGCAGUAGGGAAUCUUCCACAAUGGACGCAAGUCUGAUGGAGCAACGCCGCGUGAGUGAAGAAGGGUUUCGGCUCGUAAAGCUCUGUUGGUAGUGAAGAAAGAUAGAGGUGUAAGCCUUUAUUUGACGGUAAUUACUUAGAAAGUCACGGCUAACUACGUGCCAGCGGCCGCGGUAAUACGUAGGUGGCAAGCGUUGUCCGGAUUUAUUGGGCGUAAAGAGAGUGCAGCGGUUUUCUAAGUCUGAUGUGAAAGCCUUCGGCUUAACCGGAGAAGUGCAUCGGAACUGGAUAACUUGAGUGCAGAAGAGGGUAGUGGAACUCCAUGUGUAGCGGUGGAUGCGUAGAUAUAUGGAAGAACACCAGUGGCGAAGGCGGCUACUGGUCUGCAACUGACGCUGAGACUCGAAAGCAUGGGUAGCGAACAGGAUUAGAUACCCUGGUAGUCCAUGCCGUAAACGAUGAGUGCUAGGUGUUGGAGGGUUUCCCCCUUCAGUGCCGGAGCUAACGCAUUAAGCACUCCGCCUGGGGAGUACGACCGCAAGGUUGAAACUCAAAGGAAUUGACGGGGGCCCGCACAAGCGGUGGAGCAUGUGGUUUAAUUCGAAGCUACGCGAAGAACCUUACCAGGUCUUGACAUCUUGCGCCAACCCUAGAGAUAGGUGGUUCCCUUCGGGGACGCAGAGACAGGUGGUGCAUGGCUGUCGUCAGCUCGUGUCGUGAGAUGUUGGGUUAAGUCCCGCAACGAGCGCAACCCUUGUCUUUAGUUGCCAUCAUUAAGUUGGGCACUCUAAAGAGACUGCCGGUGACAAACCGGAGGAAGGUGGGGAUGACGUCAAGUCAUCAUGCCCCUUAUGACCUGGGCUACACACGUGCUACAAUGGGCAGUACAACGAGAAGCGAACCCGCGAGGGUAAGCGGAUCUCUUAAAGCUGCUCUCAGUUCGGACUGCAGGCUGCAACUCGCCUGCACGAAGCUGGAAUCGCUAGUAAUCGCGGAUCAGCACGCCGCGGUGAAUACGUUCCCGGGCCUUGUACACACCG
rnacentral:rRNA from 2 species